UACGAAGGGGGCUAGCGUUGCUCGGAAUUACUGGGCGUAAAGCGCACGUAGGCGGUCUUUUAAGUCGGGGGUGAAAUCCUGGAGCUCAACUCCAGAACUGCCUUCGAUACUGGAAGACUCGAGUCCGGGAGAGGUGAGUGGAACUGCGGGUGUAGAGGUGAAAUUCGUAGAUAUUCGCAAGAACACCAGUGGCGAAGGCGGCUCACUGGCCCGGUACUGACGCUGAGGUGCGAAAGCGUGGGGAGCAACAGG
rnacentral:rRNA from 1 species